CCACCUAGCCCUUGACUCAGCUCCUCCUCUAGAAGCUCCCUCAGUGGACCCCACCAUUGCCGUCCAUGGGUGCACAGUGCACCGUGGUGGCCGACAACCUCUGCUCGGCUCCGUCUCCUUGCCUCGCGUCCCUAGUGCCGCCCUGCCUACAUCAUUGAAUCUCCCUAACCUCUCCCGUCACUCUUAAUGGCCCCGCAACACACUGUCCUCGCCAUAGCUCUGGUAGGAUCCCCGGGGCGGCUCUCGGUCGAGAGCAUCUGCCCCUGGCUAUAUAUGCCGUCCACGACCUCGUCCAACCCCACCACUCGCCUCCUUCCUCACUCAAUUGACUCCCAGCGCCACCCACUCGAGCCGUAGCACUCUCCUUCCCCAACUCCGGCGAGUCUUUAUCAAGUGGUAUGAGAGCUAAGGUUGUUCACGAUACUGUGUUGAUCGAGAUGUCGACCUCGAUCGACAAGGAUGACGGGACUGCUGCUUAUUCUGAGGAAAUUGUACGUUUAGUGUAUGCGAAUGACAUUCCUAAAAAUAUUCGGGAUGAUUAGACGUAUGCAAAUGGCAUUCCUAAAAAUAUUUGGGAUGAUUUUGACCACACAUGCAACUACGUCAAACAAUGUCAUGAUGCAGUCGAGGCUGCUCCGGUUGCUCCACUUCAUUACGCAACAUUGGCUCGUGGCUGACAUGGCGGCGUGCAUGAUCGCCGUUUCGCGGCACAACCACAUGCUGGAGAUGAUAACCUCGAUGACGGCCUGCGUCGGGGUACGUGCCACGACCACGACACUUUGAGCCCUGUCCUGAAGUUUUCACUCGUGGCGGUGAUGAGGACAUCAAUACCAUUGUUACAUCCACAGCCCCUACUGCUACAUAUACGGGACCAAUUACUAGAGCUCGCGCACGCCAA